CAUGAUCAUAAGUAUAAGCAAUUAUACAGCGAAACUGCGAAUGGCUCAUUAAAUCAGUUAUCGUUUAUUUGAUAGUACCUUACUACUUGGAUAACCGUGGUAAUUCUAGAGCUAAUACAUGCUAAAAAUCCCGACUUCGGAAGGGAUGUAUUUAUUAGAUUAAAAACCAAUGCCCUUCGGGGCUCUCUGGUGAUUCAUAAUAACUUCUCGAAUCGCAUGGCCUUGUGCCGGCGAUGGUUCAUUCAAAUUUCUGCCCUAUCAACUUUCGACGGCUGGGUCUUGGCCAGCCAUGGUGACAACGGGUAACGGAGGGUUAGGGCUCGACCCCGGAGAAGGAGCCUGAGAAACGGCUACUACAUCCAAGGAAGGCAGCAGGCGCGCAAAUUACCCAAUCCCAACUCGGGGAGGUAGUGACAAUAAAUACUGAUACAGGGCUCUUUUGGGUCUUGUAAUUGGAAUGAGUACAAUUUAAAUCCCUUAACGAGGAACAAUUGGAGGGCAAGUCUGGUGCCAGCAGCCGCGGUAAUUCCAGCUCCAAUAGCGUAUAUUAAAGUUGUUGCGGUUAAAAAGCUCGUAGUUGAACCUUGGGCCUGGCUGGCCGGUCCGCCUCACCGCGUGCACUGGUCCGGCCGGGCCUUUCCCUCUGGGGAGCCGCAUGCCCUUCACUGGGUGUGUCGGGGAACCAGGACUUUUACUGUGAAAAAAUUAGAUUGCUCAAAGCAGGCCUAUGCUCGAAUACAUUAGCAUGGAAUAAUAGAAUAGGACGUGUGGUUCUAUUUUGUUGGUUUCUAGGACCGCCGUAAUGAUUAAUAGGGACAGUCGGGGGCAUCAGUAUUCAAUUGUCAGAGGUGAAAUUCUUGGAUUUAUUGAAGACUAACUACUGCGAAAGCAUUUGCCAAGGAUGUUUUCAUUAAUCAGUGAACGAAAGUUAGGGGAUCGAAGACGAUCAGAUACCGUCGUAGUCUUAACCAUAAACUAUGCCGACUAGGGAUCGGACGAUGUUAUUUUUUAUGACUCGUUCGGCACCUUACGAUAAAUCAAAAUGUUUGGGCUCCUGGGGGGAGUAUGGUCG
rnacentral:rRNA from 1 species